AUGUGCCCUGCCGAACCUGCUACAAGAAGCCAAUUUCCAGCCCUGCAAAAGGUGCCAAAAGACCUUGCCAUCCAGCCUGUUACAUCAGUCCAAAAAUGCAGUCCAUACACCAAAAUAGAAAAACACUACUUGCAUCCAAAAAGCAUAAGAUCAGAAGUCUAUUUUUGUUCAAAUUUAUCAAUGUUCCCUCCUAAAUUUUUAGAAAUUUUGGUCUAUAAAAAAAGAAGGAAGUUUGUUUAA